GACGUAGGGCGCGAGCGUUGUCCGGAUUUAUUGGGCGUAAAGAGCUCGUAGGCGGUCCGUUAAGUCGGAAGUGAAAUCUCAAGGCUCAACCUUGAAAUCGCUUUCGAUACUGGCGGACUUGAGGCAGGUAGGGGAAGGUGGAAUUCCUGGUGUAGCGGUGAAAUGCGCAGAUAUCAGGAGGAACACCGGUGGCGAAGGCGGCCUUCUGGGCCUGUUCUGACGCUGAGGAGCGAAAGCGUGGGGAGCAAACAGG
rnacentral:rRNA from 1 species